GCCGUGAAACGCCCCAGCGCCUAUGGUACUUCGUCUCAAGACGCGGGAGAGUCGGUCGCCGCCAGGU
rnacentral:rRNA from 1 species